rnacentral:lncRNA from 1 species
GUCAUGCCAACUCCCGCAGACAAUGGCUGCUUUGUCCAGGAGAGAGGAUUUAGAUGACAACUGGGCUUAAACCUCAGAAAUCUUCAAUCUCUGCUUCUUCAAACAGUUUGUAUUAGAAGGGUGGCUGGGAAAAAUGAAGUCCUUAUGCACGGAGCCACCGCGUUUCACGGCGAUGUUCACCUGGCCCAUGAAGAUCUCCGGACAUAAAACCAGGCAACAAAAUCAGGAUGCAACAGGCUGGAGGGGCAAAGCACAGAAGUGGAAUGGGUCCUGCCAUAGGUGAGGGUUGACAUCCUCUUACACCUGCCGCUUCAUGCUUGUGCUUGGGAUGGUGAUGCGUCCGAUCUUGUGCAGGUCUUGUACACAGAAGAGCAGCAGCUGCAAGCUCAGGAAUGAAACGGCCACACCGUGCACAGAAGACAGUGCCCCAUGAUGGAUUCUCCGUUUCUUCCUCAGACACCCACUGUGAAGAAACACUUGAGUGUCACUGGCCAUGAGAGUCAUCUGGAUUUCAGUGAUAACUGGAUCCUCCUCCUGUUCCCAAGGCUACCCAUCAAGAGCUCACACUGCUACCGUUUCUCACACAUCGCUUGCUUGAUAGCCUAUGGAUAUCCUCAAAGCUCCUUGCUCCCUCUGGAAUCCACACUUCCCUGUGCAAAUCCAUGGAAAU